AUUAUGGUGCAGUGGCGGAUGCAGGAAUUUUCGAAAGGGGGGGUGCUAGCCCAGGGCAAAGGGGGGGUGCAGGGGGGGUGCAAAAUUGUCCCGAUUCAAAUGCAUUGAUCGGCCAAAAUAAAGGGGGGGUGCGGACCCCCGGAAUCCCCCCUCUGGAUCCGCCACUGUGGUGUGAAAAUAAGAUAAUAAUUAGGGCCCUGCCAGAUAGUGAUCAGUCUAGUCUGUCAGUCCCUGACAAAUUGUUUUCUCUUUAUAUCUAGAGAACUGUUAUGAUUUCAAAGUUUAUACUUAACAUGUAUAUUAACCAACACCAGAGGGUGUGUCAUAAUGUAUGAACAACUUUCUAGGUCAAAGGUCAAGGUCAAAAACUUUGGUUUCAGUCAACAACCCCAUGUUUUAUGAUAUAGAUCAUGUCUGCUCUGUAUCUUGAGAACCUUAUGAUUUCAAAGUAUACUUCACAUGAAUAUAAACAAACACAAGAGGGUGUGUCAUAAUGUAUGUACAACUUCUUAGGUUAAAGGUCAAGGUCAAAAACUUUGCUUUCAGUUGACAACCACAUGUCCUAUGGUAAAGAUAAAAAAAAAUACCAUAUGUUAUUCACAGCCGGCUUACAGAGAUGUUUCCAAACUCAAUGAUGUCUAGUUAUGCCAAAGUAUGGUUUUUACCCCAAUUACGGGUUUAUAUUUAUGUUUACUGUAGUUUACCAUGAAGCUUUGUUCACAUCAACUUGAAAUUUAGUACACAUAUUUUAUUAAGGAGAACUAAAACUACACAAAACAUAAGGAUUUUGACCCCAAGUUUAAGGUUAACUGAACAUAGCAUAAGAAUAGUGACAACAGGGAAGGGUGUUUCUAUGGAACAAAUAUUCUUGGUUUCUGUUAUGGUUAUAAGAUGCUAUUUAAACUUGCCUUGUAAUGUUGCUUGUCCAAUAUCAAAUGAAAUGUCACAGGAUAAUUUCACCGAAAUAUUUUUUUUUUAUAAAAAAAGUUUUAAUCUAGAAGACCAUACCAUUUCCCUGAGGAUAUGUAUCUGUUAUUCAUACUAUUAUUUUAUCAGUUGUAUUUACCGCUGUUGAAAAGUGAAAAAGCAUGAUGAAAAUAGAUGAAAUUCUCAAUAUUUUCUUAAUCCCUUGCCAGAACAUUAUAAUUUUACAAGUAACUUAAAUGCUAUCUCAAUUGUUUAACACUGAUGAAGUGAAACUACUUAUUAUUGUCAGGAUGAUUAUAAUUAUAUU
rnacentral:lncRNA from 1 species